ensembl:lncRNA
GGUGGUUGGUGCACUUGAUUCAGAAGCCCUGUUGGUGGUUGGUGCACUUGAUUCAGAAGCCCUGUUGGUGCACUUGAUUCAGAAGCCCUGUUGGUGGUAGGUGCACUUGAUUUAGAAUCCCUGUUGGCGGUAGGUGCACUUGAUUCAGAAGCCCUGUUGGCGGUGGGUGCACUUGAUUCAGAAGCCCUGUUGGUGGUUGGUGCACUUGAUUCAGAAGCCCUGUUGGUGGUAGGUGCACUUGAUUCAGAAGCCCUGUUGGUGGUAGGUGCACUUGAUUCAGAUGCCCUGUUGGCGGUUGGUGCACUUGAUUCAGAAGCCCUGUUGGCGGUUGGUGCACUUGAUUCAGAAGCCCUGUUGGUGGUAGGUGC